AAGCUAACUCUUCUGGAGGAAUGGUUUGGCCCACUGCGAGAGACGAGGCGGAGCUGGUAGAAGAUUUCGGCUUGGUUAUCGGAGAACAGGAUCAAAUCGACUGCGGAUUCUCCUCCUUUGAUGGGAUGUUACACUGGGCUAUAGGAAGCAGCUAAAGAUGUUUAUGGAUGAGUUGCAGAAGCGUCAAGUAGAGUUAAAGCUUAAAGGAGCUGGUGGAGAAGCUGGACAUGCCGUCUGACGCGGAGUUGAUGCAGAUCGCCGUAUCUGACUUGAACAAUGCUUCCUUGUCCCUGGAAGAUUUUCACCGUGAAACUCUUACAGGACACAAUGACCUUGUUAUAUUAUUCUGGGUACAAUCACCUUCUAACUUGUGCUACUUUGGAAACAUGUUUCAGGCUCUUACAGCAAUCAACACUCUUCUUCAACUCAAAUCCAUAGAGCCUUU